GGGUCACGUGGCGGGGAUGGUUCUUGGACGGCAGAGACCGGACGAGAUGAAAAGGGAACGCGGUGCGGUGUCAUCAUGCCACCAAGUCCGCGACUGCCCCCGCAACUGUGAGCGGAGAGCGACCCCGACAGGGACCACUGGGCAAAGCGCCCGGGAAGGUUCGGGGAAGCCGUGACCCGCAAGUCAGGAGACCUGCCAUCACCGGCGCGCGGUGU
rnacentral:ncRNA from 18 species